rnacentral:sRNA from 1 species
AAUUUAUCAGCAGCAGUGUCUGCUAUAAAUU